CACCUGGUGGCGGGUCUGCCCCCGGAGGAUCAACAGCAGCUGAUGGCAGCAGAAGCCAGCGCAGGCCAGGCCAACGGCAAACCAGAGGUUAGCUCAGGAAGCACAUGGAGGAUGAAGGAUCCAGGGACCGGGGUUCCCGUUGGGCUCCGGGAAUGCUGACAGGGAGAGAUGACCCUCGAGCUGGGACCUGAGAACAUCAGAGCUGUCAAUGCGGGCCUGCCUUGCAUCUCAGCCUCGGGGACAAGCCUGAGCUGAUGGAAGCUGUUUUUCAGGGGCUUUAUUUCUGGCACUAAAUCAAGGCCUGCGGAAAAGACCCUGUGGCCUUCUCCUGGCCCCUUGUGGCAACUACAAAAGGUUCUUCUGGUGACCUGCUUUUUCUUGAAAUGUUUGAAGUUGGCUAACCUGGCUGCCUCAGCUCUCUGAACUAUCUAAUAAUAGUUCUGCUUCUUUUAGAAAAAAUCAGAGUUUUUCUAAAGGCCUGAAUGGUCACACCACCCAAUCUCUCCCUCCCUGCUUCCCACCAAGCAUUUAUAACACCUUUGACAGAUCAUUGCCUGGCAUCUUUAACAUACAUUCAGGGACAAGGGGCUCCCUUCCUCCCAAAGAGGCUCAUUCAUCAAGAAGCAGCUUCAGAGAGGCAGUGUGGUGUGGUGGAAGGAAUAUGAGCUCUGGAGGCUAGCAACCCUGAGUCCAAAUCUUGGGUUGGAAUCAUAACUAGUUAUGUGGCUUCGAAGCAACUUAACCUUGCUGACCUUUUUGUUCCUGAGCCUUUAAGAUGGAUAUGAUAAUACCUAUCUCACAGAAUUGUGGUGAGGACUGAAUGAAAUGAGACCUGCACAGUGGGUAGCACAUAAUAGGUGCUCAACAAACAUUAAUCCCCUUUCCCUUUCACUGGACUUUCUGGAGGCAUCCACCACGCUGGUGUACUUAUACAAAUGUCAUGACACAGAUCAAAUGGCGUCAUCUCCAUUUCCUAGAUGAGAAGGAUGAGGCUCAGAGAGGUGACACAAUUUACACUGAUCCCAUGAAGCCACAAGAAAAGACAACUUCUAAAAUCCACCUGGCCAGCCUCCUACCUCUUGAGCAUCAGCUAAAGACCCAUGGGCAGCAGCCACCAGAAGACCUCUUCUACUUCUAGCUCACAGGGCCCACACUCCCAGCCAUCUCAUGCUCAUGCAGAUAUAAGUCAGGGACAGUGCCACAGUUGAGGACAAGUACCACAACUGGAAAAUAACUGCUCAAUCAGACAACUUGGGCCUUCCAACUCCCUCCUGUCCUCCUGAGCAAUGAGGUAGGUAGUGUCCUCAACCACUUGGGUUGAGAAUAGGUGGAGAAGAGAUAGAGAGGAGGGCACUGAAGAGUGUACUGGGGAAGGGGAGAAGGACGUGCAAGGGAAACGAUGAAAGGUUGGCAAAGGAGGAAGAUGAGAUGGGAGAGUUUGAGAUUACAGAUCUUGGCCUUUCUUUUCCUAGUGGGUAUGGUGAGGAGGUAAAAGAUAAUGGCACUCAUCUUUCUGCUGGAAUGGGAUCUGGCCUCCAAGGUAGGCACUUACUGGUUCUGUUCUCCCACCAGAGCAUAUACAUAGAUCCCUCUUUUUUCCUUUCCUGCCUCCCAAACCUAGCACAUAUGGAUAGGCCUCUAAGCCUGGCUUAUCUCAAAUCAAACCAUUUCAAGAUCCUCCCUUUGGAAACAUCCAUUUUUAUGUGAGGAAACUACUUGCAAAAGAAAGUGUAAUUAGGUUCUCUGGCUCCCCUCAUCUCUCCACCUGCCUGUGCUCACACUCCACCCCCUAGCUCGCCCACCUACCCUCCCUCCUCCUGGUUAUUUCAGUCCCAGCAGCCUCCUAUGCCAGCGCCAGGUUCCAGAAGGCCUGAGAGCUCUGAGUUCCAGGCCUAGCUCAGCCACCAGCCCUCAAGGCAUCUCCCCUAUCUGGGUCCUUCCUGGGUCUCUGUGUUCCCUCUGCCAAAUGGCACAACAGUUCUACGCCUGCAAAAGAUUAGGCUGCUGCCCCAACAAAGGCUGAAAUAAUGGCUCCCCUCAGAGUGGAGCAAAAUUUUUAUGAAUGUCCAGCCCAGGCACAUCAAGACAAUCUUGGCUUCUCAGUGGAAGCAGCUGCACUCCACCUUUCUUUGUCCCUGAAAGGUCAGUGGCUAAGGAAACAUGCUGUGUUCCCUGUGCUGCUGUGGGAAAGCCAUUUAAUCCAUUUGUGCCUCAGUUUGUUCAUCUGAGAAAUAGAGAAAUCGAUAUCAUACACACAUACAUGUGUGCACAUUAUCAAUUGUAAAAACCAGGUCAUUCAGAGUCAAAGGCCAGGGUAGGAUGGAGAGGAAGAAAGUGAGGUAGGGACACGUUGCAAGGCCAGGUAAAGUGGUAAGAACUGCCACAGGUCCCUCUGGGCCAAGAACCAGGGAGCUGUUUGCAGGGCACACUAUACACAGUCCUCACCAGGGUGCCCAGCUGAGCGCCACUUCCAAGGCCCACAUGUCUGGCUUCUGCAGGUGUAUGAGCCUCCUGGAGGAUCAGUUCCCACACCAGUCCCAUCACUGUGGUGUGAGGAUGCAACCAUUAAACAUGGCUGCAUCUCCAACCAGGUGCCCCCUGCUCUGAGGCAUCUGCAGGCUGGGACCACCUGGUGGGGUCAAACAUAAUGGGCAGGAGGGCAGAACUUAGUCUCUUGCUGGGGAUGGCUGGCACCCUGUUGAUCUUACUGUGGCUGGUUGGCAAGAUGUUUGGAAGGCAAAGUCCUUAGGGGAACGUGUGAGCAGCAUUGGGGUCCAGGCAGAGGAAGGCCAAAACAUGGGUGCCCCUCACAGGCUGCAUGGAAGGAGGGCCAGCACCCAGCCCGCCUGGCACAGAGCAGGUGUAUUGCCUGGAUCACCACAUCUCUACGAGCAAAUGGACCAUGGUGAGCAAAAAGAUGAUGAACGAGGUUGGGGUAGGGAGAGAGGUUGCCAGAUAAAAUACAGCAUGCUCAGUUAAACUGAAUUUCAGAUAGGUAACAGUACAUUUUUUUUUAGUAUAAGUAUGUCUCGUGCAAUAUUUAGGAGUUACUUAUACACUUAAAAAGUUAUGCAUUGUUUAUCCAGAAUUAUAAUUUAAUUGGGCAUCUUGUGUGUGGGGGGGGGUAUUUUUAUUUAUUUAUUUAUUUUUGCGAAAUCUGGCAAACUUGGG